rnacentral:rRNA from 1 species
UGCCCGCAAGGGAAUGUAGUGAGAGGUGCUGCAUGGCUGUCGUCAGCUCGUGUUGUGAAAUGUUGGGUUAAGUCUCGCAACGAGCGCAACCCCUAUCGUCUGUUGCCAGCAUUAAGUUGGGCACUCUGACGAGACUGCCUGGGUUAACCAGGAGGAAGGUGGGGAUGACGUCAAGUCCUCAUGGCCCUUAUGUCUAGGGCUACACACGUAAUACAAUGGCGCGUACAGAGGGAAGCGAACUCGCAAGGGGGAGCAAAUCUCAAAAAGCGCGCCUCAGUUCGGAUUGGAGUCUGCAACUCGACUCCAUGAAGUUGGAAUCGCUAGUAAUCGGAGAUCAGCACGCUCC